AGAGCCUUUCCCCAGGAUCCACCCGCUGUGGUCAUCUUACUGGAAUCCCACUGAAAUCCCACUAGCUGAAGAGAUUUCUUUGGGUUGAUUGGUUUCCUGUAGGAAGGGCAGGGGGCUUUCAGUCAUUUCCAUGUUAGUAUAAACUGGUUUAAGGAGCUUCUUCCUUAACUUCUGGAGAUCAACCAAUGGCCAAAAGUGUGGCUGCUGGUUGUGCUGGGGUCCAUUUGGACUGGGGAACAUAAAGGGCAGAUAACUGGGGAUUGUGGGACACUCCUG
rnacentral:lncRNA from 1 species